CUGAGAAGAGGGCCUGUCCUGUGCAGCCCCCUGAAUGUAGCUUACUUCUGUUUCAUUUGAAGCACACCAGGCUUGAAGACCAGCUGGGGAUGCUGGGGGACUGACCAGACCAGAGGCGGGGACACAGGCCCUCAAGUGGCAGUGCGACUUGCUGGAGAAGCAGUGGGGCAGGGCAGGAGGAGGAGGAGGAGGAGGGGUCACAGGGCUCAGGACCGAGUGCACUGCAAGUGCUCACACGGUGAGCAUCAGAAUGUGGCACCAAGCUGCCCCCUCCAAAGGGCACCAGCAUCUGGCCACUCCCUGGUGACCCUUGCAGGUGGGAGGGGUCUGAGUUUGAAGAGCAGAACAGUGGUGCCCAGCUCCCAGCUCUGCGUGAGACGCUGAAGACUUGGCUUGCAAGGCUCCUUGGGAUUGUCCCUCAGCAUGGUCUCCUCUGCUGCCCCUCACACCUGUGACAAAGCGCA
rnacentral:lncRNA from 1 species